rnacentral:lncRNA from 1 species
UUUAUUUGAUUUUGUAGAAAACCGAAAUAAUAUAGUUUUCUGAAACUCUAUGCCGACGACAAGUCGUCGGUAUAGGGUAAGAAUCCAACAUGGCGAUCCGCGUGAAAAUUUUAAUUUCUUUUAAUAAAGACAAAAGAUAGAAAUGACGUCGUUAUUUGAACCCUAUACCAACGACGUAGUUAUCAGUGCAUCGUUCAUUGUUCAGUUGCAGUGAACGAUACACUCUUUCUCUCUCAGACUGACCGACGAUUUUGCACCAUCUUCACCGGCAAUGAGAUAUAGGUACAUAUUUGGUCAUUGUUUUUUCUUGAUUGUUUAUGAUUGCUCAAGUUUUUAACUCCAAAUUUGGGGCUUUUUAUUUGUUGCCAGCCAUGAACCACCAUCCACCCUUCAC